UGCCAGCCGCCGCGGUAAUACGGAGGGGGCUAGCGUUGUUCGGAAUUAUUGGGCGUAAAGCGCGUGUAGGCGGUUCGUUAAGUCUGAUGUGAAAGCCCGGGGCUCAACCCCGGAACUGCCUUUAAUACUGGCAGUCUAGAGUUCGAGAGAGGUGAGUGGAAUUCCGAGUGUAGAGGUGAAAUUCGUAGAUAUUCGGAGGAACACCAGUGGCGAAGGCGGCUCACUGGCUCGAUACUGACGCUGAGGUGCGAAAGUGUGGGGAGCAAACAGGAUUAGAUA
rnacentral:rRNA from 1 species